UACGUAGGUGGCAAGCGUUGUCCGGAAUUAUUGGGCGUAAAGCGCGCGCAGGCGGUCCUUUAAGUCUGAUGUGAAAGCCCACGGCUCAACCGUGGAGGGUCAUUGGAAACUGGGGGACUUGAGUACAGAAGAGGAAAGCGGAAUUCCACGUGUAGCGGUGAAAUGCGUAGAGAUUUGGAGGAACACCAGUGGCGAAGGCGGCUUUCUGGUCUGUAACUGACGCUGAGGCGCGAAAGCGUGGGGAGCAAACAGG
rnacentral:rRNA from 1 species